AACGAACGCUGGCGGCAGGCUUAACACAUGCCAGUCGAACGCCCCGCCAGGGGAGUGGCAGACGGGUGAGUAACGCGUGGGAACAUACCCUUUUCUACGGAAUAGCUCUGGGAAACUGGAAUUAAUACCGUAUACGCCCUACGGGGGAAAGAUUUAUCGGGGAAGGAUUGGCCCGCGUUGGAUUAGCUAGUUGGUGGGGUAAAGGCCUACCAAGGCGACGAUCCAUAGCUGGUCUGAGAGGAUGAUCAGCCACAUUGGGACUGAGACACGGCCCAAACUCCUACGGGAGGAAGCAGUGGGGAAUAUUGGACAAUGGGCGCAAGCCUGAUCCAGCCAUGCCGCGUGAGUGAUGAAGGCCUUAGGGUUGUAAAGCUCUUUCACCGAUGAAGAUAAUGACGGUAGUCGGAGAAGAAGCCCCGGCUAACUUCGUG
rnacentral:rRNA from 1 species